AGUUAUGGAUCUUGUUAGCGGCAGGGCGUUGCCAUGUCGCUUUCAUAUCUGACAACUCGGGCUUUAAAAGGCCGCUGUUUUUGGAGGAGGGAGGGAGGGAGGGAGGGGGGAGGCGGGAGCAGCCGGGAAAAAAAGAAAGAAAAAGAAAAACCUCCAAUUAGCUUAGAUGAAUGCCAUGGAUGUCUGUAAGGUGUCAAGUUAUGGAGGUGGAGUCUCUUGAGGAUGAAGAAGUUGCUAAAUGGUUGAAUGAUUCAUUUGUCAGUAUGAUGAAGGCCAACUUGUUAAUGUUUACUUGGAUACCUUAUCCAUUGCAAAUUAAAGAUGUCUUCUCUUCUUGAUUAUUUGAAGAGAAGCAUGGGUGGAUCAGAAGGUAAAGGAUUUUCAGCCGAGGACGCAGAUGGGGCUGAGCAUUAAUUAGGGAGCUAGAAAGAAAAAGGAUCCUCUUACAAAAGGACUACUAAAGAGUUCUCUAAUCAUUAUUAUUGUGGCCUUGUUUCUUAAUUAUUGUUUA